rnacentral:rRNA from 1 species
GAAUUUAAACCUCUUCCAGAGUAUCAAUUGGAGGGCAAGUCUGGUGCCAGCAGCCGCGGUAAUUCCAGCUCCAAUAGCGUAUAUUAAAAUUGUUGCAGUUAAAAAGCUCGUAGUUGAAUUUCUGCUGCAUUGCUUUUGCUCCUUUACGAGUCUUUGCAUUGUGGCUUAUUUCGGACUUUGUUUUACAAUGUCCGGAUGUUUACUUUGAGAAAAUUAGAGUGCUCAAAGCAGGCUUUCGCCUUGAAUAGUUUAGCAUGGAAUAAUAAAGUAGGACUUUGGUUCUAUUUUGUUGGUUUUAGGUACCAAAGUAAUGGUUAAUAGGAACAGUUGGGGGCAUUCGUAUUUAACUGUCAGAGGUGAAAUUCUUAGAUUUGUUAAAGACGAACUACUGCGAAAGCAUUUGCCAAGGAUGUUUUCAUUAAUCAAGAACGAAAGUUAGGGGAUCGAAGACGAUCAGAUACCGU